rnacentral:rRNA from 1 species
GAUGAACGCUGGCGGCGUGCCUAAUACAUGCAAGUCGAGCGAACGGACGAGAAGCUUUCUUCUCUGAUGUUAGCGGCGGACGGGUGAGUAACACGUGGAUAACCUACCUAUAAGACUGGGAUAACUUCGGCAAACCGGAGCUACUACCGGAUAAUAUUUUGAACCGCAUGGUUCAAAAGUGAAAGACGGUCUUGCUGUCACUUAUAGAUGGCUCCGCGCUGCAUUAGCUAGUUGGUAAGGUAACGGCUUACCAAGGCAACGAUGCAUAGCCGACCUGAGAGGGUGAUCGGCCACACUGGAACUGAGACACGGUCCAGACUCCGACGGGAGGCAGCAGUAGGGAAUCUUCCGCGAUGGGCGAAAGCCUGACGGAGCAACGCCGCGUGAGUGAUGAAGGUCUUCGGAUCGUAAAACUCUGUUAUUAGGGAAGAACAUAUGUGUAAGUAACUGUGCACAUCUUGACGGUACCUAAUCAGAAAGCCACGGCUAACUACGUG